rnacentral:rRNA from 1 species
AGUAACGGCGAGUGAAGCGGCAACAGCUCAAAUUUGAAAUCUGGCCUCCUCGAGGCCCGAGUUGUAAUUUGUAGAGGAUGUUUUGGGUACCGCGCCGGUUUAAAUUUCUUGGAACAGAAUGUCAGAGAGGGUGAGAAUCCCGUCUUUGACCGGCGUAGGGCCCGUGUAAAACUCCUUCGACGAGUCGAGUUGUUUGGGA